GACGAACGCUGGCGGCGUGCUUAACACAUGCAAGUCGAACGAAGUGGCGAACGGGUGAGUAAUACGUGGGUAACCUGCCCUCGUGUUUGGGGUAAGGCUUGGAAACGGGGUCUAAUACAGAAUAAAGGGGGGUGGGGUCGCGGCCUAUGGUCGUGUUGGUGGGGUGCUGGCCUACCAAGGCGGUGUUGGUUGGCCGGCCUGAGAGGGUGACCGGGCACAGUGGGACGGCGAUACGUCCCAGACUCCUACGGGGGGGGGAAGUGGGGGAUAUUGCACAAUGGGCGAAAGACGGAUGCAGCGACGCUGCGUGGGGGAUUAAGGCUUUCGGGUUGUAAAACUCUUUCGCUAGCGAACGGGUAGGUAGAGAAGAAGCGCCGGCUAACUACGUGCCAGCAGCCGCGGUAAUUC
rnacentral:rRNA from 1 species